AGUGAACGCUGGCGGUAGGCCUAACACAUGCAAGUCGAACGGCAGCACAGUAAGAGCUUGCUCUUACGGGUGGCGAGUGGCGGACGGGUGAGGAAUACAUCGGAAUCUACUUUUUCGUGGGGGACAACGUAGGGAAACUUACGCUAAUACCGCAUACGACCUACGGGUGAAAGCAGGGGAUCUUCGGACCUUGCGCGAUUGAAUGAGCCGAUGUCGGUUUAGCUAGUUGGCGGGGUAAAGGCCCACCAAGGCGACGAUCCGUAGCUGGUCUGAGAGGAUGAUCAGCCACACUGGAACUGAGACACGGUCCAGACUCCUACGGGAGGCAGCAGUGGGGAAUAUUGGACAAUGGGCGAAAGCCUGAUCCAGCCAUACCGCGUGAGUGAAGAAGGCCUUCGGGUUGUAAAGCCCUUUUGUUGGGAAAGAAAAGCAGCAGGUGAAUACCCCGCUGUUCUGACGGUACCCAAAGAAUAAGCACCGGCUAACUUCGUG
rnacentral:rRNA from 1 species